rnacentral:rRNA from 1 species
GGCGCACGGGUGAGUAACACGUAGGUAACGUUCCUUUUGGUUCGGGAUAACCUGCCGAAAGGCGGGCUAAUACCGGAUAAGUUCCUUUUUGAUUCGUCAGAGAGGAAGAAAGCAGGGCAACUUGCGCCGAUUGAUCGGCCUGCGUCCCAUCAGCUAGUUGGUGAGGUAACGGCUCACCAAGGCGACGACGGGUAGCUGGUCUGAGAGGAUGAUCAGCCACACUGGGACUGAGACACGGCCCAGACUCCUACGGGAGGCAGCAGUGGGGAAUAUUGGUCAAUGGGCGAAGGCCUGAACCAGCAAUGCCGCGUGAGUGAUGAAGGCCUUCGGGUUGUAAAGCUCUGUCGGGAGGGACGAAAAAGGCCGGGUAACUCCGGAACUUGACGGUACCUCCAAAGGAAGCACCGGCUAACUCUGUGCCAGCCGCCGCGG